rnacentral:lncRNA from 12 species
UUUUCUUUCUGUUCUUGCACCUUUCUGGUCACAGGAAUCUUAGGGCCUGAUGCUUGACCCCCCGGGUUCACAAGGGAAGGCACAGUCCUGAUUUUAGAGUUUCCGAACCUAUCCGAGGGUAGAGCACUAAGGGCUCACCAUCAUGCUCGCUGUGUUGCUCCCUUUCCUCAAAUCAGGGAUCCGCUUAGAGUCUCUUCAGGACCUGAGUAUGCAUGGCUUAAAAGCCAAACAUAGGGGGUGUCAUCCCUUCUAGAAAGCCAUAAGAAAUGUGGCCAUCUUUAAGCUAAGUAAAGGGAGAAGAACUGGGAAUGAAACAAAAUCCAAAGAAACAAUGAUUAUUCUGCCACUUUUUGAUAGACUAAAACAAAUUUCCUCUGGAAGGUUGCUUAUCAAAAACAUCAUUUGAUUGCUAUUAGUGACUUCCCGUCUGUGUUCUGAAGGAAGUGGGGGAGGUGAGGUGUUAAGGCGGGUGGUGGUGGGGAGGGGAUCACACUUAUCAAGAAGAGGAAUGAAAUGUAAGAAAUGUAGAGAGGACACAGUUAGAGACCCUGCUGAGAACAGCCAUUUGCCUCAGGGUAUGCAGGACCUGUGGAUGUCUUACCAUACAAUCCUGACUCAAAGAAACCAGCAGUGAUAAUGGAAUCCAUUUUUCCUGUAUUGGGGAGAAACAUCCUUGCUCUUUUGAAUGCAUAAAUGGAAAGCCUAAAACAAGGACUAUAUGUAAACAUUUUUAUUAGGGAAGAGAAAACGUUAAUUCAACCUUAAUACUGGUCUGAUACAAUUGUGUUCUAACUUCUUAUCAUCUUUCAAUAGGGAAUCAACUGUAAGUAGUUUUGUGAAGAAUUGAGGUAGAACGACAUGAAGGCACAAAAGCAUCUGCUGACCAUCACAAGUGAUGGAAGGAAAGAGACUCCUUGUACCACCAAUGCCAGUGGAAGGCAGGAAUGUCAGCCAGGAGGAAAGUAGCUCUGGUUUAUAGCAGAUAAUCCCCCCUCCCCCCAAAUACAGCUAAACAUGACUUAGAAUGAAUGAAGAAAGAGAUUAUGCUUUUAAUUUUUAAAAUUAGCCACAGGUCUCAAUUGCAUCAUACU